GCGAGUGAAACAGUGCAGUGGCUUAAGAUAGUUCUCUUUAGUUUUCCCAUGAUUUAUCACAAGCAAGUUCACAGCAGGUUAAAAUAAUUGAAUGCGGUGAUAGCAUACAUACUGGCAUGAUUUUAUGAGCCGUCAUUCAUAACAUAUUUGUCCCAAAGCAUAAUUUCCAUGAUAGAACUCUGAUUCACAUGUAAUUUUUUUGCAGCGACGACACAGUUGAAAUAACUCCUUCGUGGAGGCUGGCUACAUUUUCACAACGUCUGGUCCCAAGCUAGAUCUUCGGGAAAAGGGAUCAAGGAAAUGACUAUUCCUCCAAAUAAAAUCUCCCCUUCCCACCGAGAGCCACUGUCAUCAACAAUAAAAUUUCCUGCAUUUACUACCUUCAAUUUGUUCUUGUGACCUCAUUCCUUCUGGAGCCUGGACAAGAACUCGGUGCCACAAGUGUGGGUGCAAAAGGCUGUCACACUGACCCUCCACUGAGCUGUUAAUACUUAAGCUGUCUGCAGACAACAAAGCUAAAAGGGCAACAAGAAGAAUGAAAAAACGUAGAAGAGAAAGCCUCGUGAAACUGAGAAGCAUCUGCAACCACAAACUACAAAAUGUAGCUGCUAAACAAAAUGAAAGUUGGAUCAAAGUGGUGGCAAAUAUCAAGAGUGAAUAUACUCCACGGCAGAGUACUGCAAAUGCCGGGUCCGGUGGCUCACACCUGUAAUCCCAGCACUUUGGGAGGCCGAGGCAGGUGGAUCACCUGAGGUCGGGAGUUCAAGACCAGUCUGACCAAUAUGGAGAAACCCCAUCUCUACUGAAAAUAUAAAAUUAGCUGGGCAUGGUGCUGCAUGCCUGUAAUCCCAGCUACUCGGGAGACUGAGGCAGGGGAAUUGCUUGAACCUGGGAGGUGGAGGUUAUGGUGAGCUGAGAUAGCAUCAUUGCACUGUAGCCUGGGUAACAAGAGUGAAACUCCAUCUGAAAAAAAAAAAAAUUCCUUGUAAGGUGAAUUAUCAAAAUAAAAACAUAAUUAUAAUUGUACUUCAUUCAGUUACAAAUAAA
rnacentral:lncRNA from 1 species